rnacentral:lncRNA from 1 species
CGUGCCGCGCGAGGAGAAGACGGCGCUCAUCGACGAGAUCGCCAAGUCGUCGGAGCUGCAGCCGCACACCGUCAACUUCCUCAACGUCGUCAUCGACAACACCCGCGCGGGCCUGAUGCCGCAGAUCGUGCGCGAGUUCGAGACCGCCUACAACGCGCUCACCGGCACCGAGGAGGCCGUCGUCACCUCCGUCGUGCAGCUCGAGUCGCAGGACCUCGCGCAGAUCGCCACGCACGUGCAGAACAUCACCGGCGCCGCCAACGUCCGGAUCAAGACCCGCCUCGACCCGGAGCUCAUCGCCGGAUUCACCGUGCAGUACGGCCGCGACAGCUCCAACUUCAUCGACAUGAGCGUCCGCAAGCAGAUCGCGGAGAUC